GAUGAACGCUAGCGGGAGGCCUAACACAUGCAAGCCGAGCGGUAUGGGUAGCUUGCUACCCAGAGAGCGGCGUACGGGUGCGUAACACGUGUGCAACCUGCCCCUAUCCGGGGGAUAGCCCUCCGAAAGGAGGAUUAAUACCCCAUAAUAUAUCUGGUGGCAUCACUAGAUAUUGAAAACCCCGGUGGAUAGGGAUGGGCACGCGCAAGAUUAGAUAGUUGGCGGGGUAACGGCCCACCAAGUCGAUGAUCUUUAGGGGUCCUGAGAGGGAGAUCCCCCACACUGGUACUGCGACACGGACCAGACUCCUACGGGAGGCAGCAGUGAGGAAUAUUGGACAAUGGGUGGAAGCCUGAUCCAGCCAUCCCGCGUGAGGGACGACGGCCCUAUGGGUUGUAAACCUCUUUUGUACGGGGAUAAACCUAUCUACGUGUAGAUAGCUGAAGGUACCGUACGAAUAAGCACCGGCUAACUCCGUG
rnacentral:rRNA from 1 species